CCUCAGGCUUCUCUUUAGAAGUCCCCGGAGGAGGCAGAUCUGAGGAAAGGCUGCCGAGAAGGCGCCUGCAGCAAUGUCAGCUUGAGAACAACCCGGCUGACAGGAUGCUGAGCGGGGAUUAAGGUCGGGAUCAGGGAAGCCGGGGAAAUGAAGGCAAGUUCCCUGCUCCCUGCGCUGCCACCGCUGCUGCUGCCCAGGCUGGUCGGUACGCCAGCCAGUGGAGCAGCCAGUCACCCCUGAGACCCCAACCGCGGAACCCUCUUUCGUGUCCUGAAUGUGGGUGGCAGGACCAGUGAGAACAGAAUUGGCCUUACCCUGGAAGGCUCCCAGAUCAAUGAAGCAGAUGCAGUCUACAUCCAGAGAGGAGCUGAGCCUGUUUCCAUCUAUUUACAAAUGUUAAGAUCCCCCAUUCUGGGGAAAGACUAUCACCCAACCUGCCUCAUCAUCAACGUGUCACAAGAGCCCAGCCAAGUGGGCACUGGAUGACCAGGUCCAGGGAAACCUCAAGCCCUUGCAUUGCCACUGGUGUGGUAGUGAAGAAUGUGGCUUCUGGUUUCAGACUGCAUGGGGUCAACUUUUGGCUGUCACUGAUUUGCCGUGUCACAUUGGGUCAUUCCGGACUCCUGAUGCCGCCAGUCCCGCGGUGAGAUGUGAGCGCCAUUGGCGUCCGUGGCCUCUGUUUCCGUGGCAACCCAGUAACCAUUAAUUUUCAAUUAAAGGAGACAAAAAGCUCGAUGACAGCUCCAGGUCUGCUGAAGAUGUCAAGAAUCUGUAUUAAUAUACAGCAAGAGAGCAUAAUUGUGUGUCCAUCUUCCAGAGCAGCGAAAAAUGGAGGGAUAAUUACCAGCUCGAAAGCCACUCUGUAAUUUAGUUCUUACUGUCACCACAGCCCUACACAUUAGCAUAAAUUAAAAGCAGAGUUUAUUGUUAUCAAAGUGCAUUGAUAUCGCCAGACCUGCUUUCUUCCUUUUAACUGUUUGUUGUGGGUGAGUGACUCCCCAACUCUUGCCAGGGUUUCCCCAGGGUGGGGAGGGUGGAAGUAUGGGGCUGCCGGCCCUGAAAGCUCUAGCUGCUAUCCUCCCUCAGGGCAGAUGGGGACAAGGGUCAGGGUGUUGCUCCUCUGAUAGGGUCUGGGGAUGAUGUGAGGAUGGAGGAGACUUGGAUAUUUAUUCACUUUUCACGUGUCAGUGUUUUGUUUUGCCUAUGAGCGCUCCAGCUCUUUGCAGAGGGGGUGGCUGCCCCAUUACGGGUCCCCCUUUAGUGCCUAGUACAGUACAGGGCAGGUGGUGGGUGCUCUAAGGCAACCUGUUAAACAAAGGAAUGAGUGCAUGUGUAGGGUAUCCUCUGGUGGGGGGAUGUCAGUGGAGAGACC
rnacentral:lncRNA from 1 species